rnacentral:misc_RNA from 1 species
GUGAAUCAUCAAAUUUUUGAACGCAAAUCGCACUCUCCUCGGAGAGUAUGCCUGUUUGAGGGUCAGCCUAAAAAAAAAAUCGACAUCGUUGCUGUUUCGCGGUUACGUUAGUGGGAAAUUGGUUCAUUUUAAACUUUUUGGUUUUUAAGCGUUUUAAAAUUUUUUUUUGACCCCUUGAACGUUUCUAAGAUUUUUAUUUUUACACGUUUAAGGGUAUGGAUUUUAUUAAACGGGGCCGUAA